AUAGCUCAUUACAACAGCCGUUGUUUCUUGGAUCUCCGCAAUACUUGGAUAACUGAGGUAAUUCUUGAGCUAAUACACGCAAUCGAGCUCUGACCUUUGGGACGAGUGCAUUUAUUAGAACAAAACCAAUCGGUGCUUGCACUGUGGUUUGGUGAAUCUGAAUAACUGAGCAGAUCGCUUCGGUCUCGUACCGGCGAUGUAUCCUUCAAGUGUCUGCCUUAUCAACUUUCGAUGGUAGUUUAUGUGCCUACCAUGGUUGUAACGGGUAACGGAGAAUUAGGGUUCGAUUCCGGAGAGGGAGCCUGAGAAACGGCUACCACUUCUAAGGAAGGCAGCAGGCGCGCAAAUUACCCACUCUCGGCACGAGGAGGUAGUGACGAAAAAUAACGAGACGAUUCUCUUUUGAGUAUCGUCAUCGGAAUGAGAACAAUCCAAAUCCUUUAACGAGGACCUAGCGGAGGGCAAGUCUGGUGCCAGCAGCCGCGGUAAUUCCAGCUCCGCCAGUGUAUAUCUAUGCUGCUGCGGUUAAAAAGCUCGUAGUUGGAUCUGCGUGCCACGGUCAGGUCCGUCUGUUAGACGUGUACUUGCGCCGGGCACUGAAACGUUGGUUUUCUCUUGGUGGCCUUCACCGGUUGCCCUGAGUGACUAACAUGUUUACUUUGAAA
rnacentral:rRNA from 1 species